rnacentral:rRNA from 1 species
AGUGAACGCUGGCGGAAGGCCUAACACAUGCAAGUCGAACGGCAGCACAGUAAGAGCUUGCUCUUACGGGUGGCGAGUGGCGGACGGGUGAGGAAUACAUCGGAAUCUACUUUUUCGUGGGGGAUAACGUAGGGAAACUUACGCUAAUACCGCAUACGACCUACGGGUGAAAGCAGGGGAUCUUCGGACCUUGCGCGAUUGAAUGAGCCGAUGUCGGAUUAGCUAGUUGGCGGGGUAAAGGCCCACCAAGGCGACGAUCCGUAGCUGGUCUGAGAGGAUGAUCAGCCACACUGGAACUGAGACACGGUCCAGACUCCUACGGGAGGCAGCAGUGGGGAAUAUUGGACAAAGGGCGCAAGCCUGAUCCAGCCAUACCGCGUGGGUGAAGAAGGCCUUCGGGUUGUAAAGCCCUUUUGUUGGGAAAGAAAAGCAGCAGGUUAAUACCCCGCUGUUCUGACGGUGCCCAAAGAAUAAGCACCGGCUAACUUCGUG